GGUUGUGUAGUGUAGUGGUUAUCACUCUGGAUUUUGAAAUGUAACAACUUCAAUUCUUCCGGUAACCCCGGUUCGAACCCGGGCACGACCU